rnacentral:rRNA from 1 species
GGGGAGGUUUGGCACCUCGAUGUCGGCUCAUCACAUCCUGGGGCUGUAGUAGGUCCCAAGGGUUGGGCUGUUCGCCCAUUAAAGUGGUACGCGAGCUGGGUUCAGAACGUCGUGAGACAGUUCGGUCCCUAUCCGUCGCAGGCGUAGGAAAUUUGAGAAGACCUGUCCUUAGUACGAGAGGACCGGGAUGGACGUACCUCUGGUGUACCAGUUGUUCUGCCAAGGGCAUGGCUGGGUAGCUAUGUACGGAAUGGAUAAGCGCUGAAAGCAUCUAAGCGCGAAGCCAACUUCAAGAUAAGAUUUCCCACCGCAAGGGUAAGACCCCAGAAAGACUAUCUGGUUGAUAGGUCGAAGGUGUAAGUGCAGCAAUGUAUUUAGCUUAUCGAUACUAAUAGGUCGAGGACUUGACCAAU